rnacentral:rRNA from 1 species
GAUGAACGCUAGCUACAGGCUUAACACAUGCAAGUCGAGGGGAAACGAUAUUGGAAGCUUGCUUCCGAUAGGCGUCGACCGGCGCACGGGUGAGUAACGCGUAUCCAACCUGCCCAUCACUUGGGGAUAACCUUGCGAAAGUAAGACUAAUACCCAAUGAUAUCUCUAGAAGACAUCUGAAAGGGAUUAAAGAUUUAUCGGUGAUGGAUGGGGAUGCGUCUGAUUAGCUUGUUGGCGGGGUAACGGCCCACCAAGGCGACGAUCAGUAGGGGUUAUGAGGGGAAGGUCCCCCACAUUGGCACUGAGACACGGUCCAAACUCCUACGGGAGGCAGCAGUGAGGAGUAUUGGGCAAUGGACGAGAGUCUGAACCAGCCAAGUAGCGUGCAGGAUGACGGCCCUAUGGGUUGUAAACUGCUUUUAUAAGGGAAUAAAGUGAGCCUCGUGAUGCUUUUUGCAUGUACCUUAUGAAUAAGGACCGGCUAAUUCCGUGCCAGCAGCCGCAGUAA